CAGUAGCCGCGGUAAUACGGAGGGGGCUAGCGUUGUUCGGAAUUACUGGGCGUAAAGCGCACGUAGGCGGCUUUGUAAGUUAGAGGUGAAAGCCCGGAGCUCAACUCCGGAAUUGCCUUUAAGACUGCAGAGCUAGCAGGUGAGAGAGGUGAGCGGAAUUCCGAGUGUAGAGGUGAAAUUCGUAGAUAUUCGGAAGAACACCAGUGGCGAAGGCGGCUCACUGGCUCAUACUGGACGCUGAGGUGCGAAAGCGUGGGGAGCAAACAGGAUUAGAUACCCCGGUAGUCCCUGUCUCUUAUAA
rnacentral:rRNA from 1 species